rnacentral:rRNA from 1 species
CAGUUCGGCCACACCCGCCGGGCAACUCGCGAGCUCGUUCCGAAUUCGCAAGAGAAGCCGGCGCGGGCCCUGUGAGUACUGCGGCGGGAGACUCCGUGGGAAAGCUGGGUGCUGAACUUU